rnacentral:RNase_P_RNA from 1 species
GGAGUCGGUCAGGCAAUCGCGGUUCCGCCGCAGGCGAACCGAGGAAAGUCCGAACUCCACAGGGCAGCGUGCCUCGUAACGCGAGGGAGGGGCGACCCUACGGAAAGUGCCACAGAAAACACACCGCCUCCGCGCGAGCGGCGGUAAGGGUGAAAAGGUGCGGUAAGAGCGCACCGCGUCGCUGGCAACAGCGGCGGCAGGGCAAACCCCACGCGGAGCAAGGUCAAAUAGGGGAGCGUUCCCGAAAGGGAUGAAGGAUGGCCCGUCCGUCGCUCCCGGGUAGACCGCUAGAUCCCUGGGGCGAUCCAGGGACGAGAUGAAUGAUUGCCGCCCCCGCCUGCGCGGGGGUACAGAAUUCGGCUUAUGACCGGCUCCGCCU